UGGGUUUAAGGAGUCAGUCGGUACAGUUGUACACCCGAAGUCGGUGAGGUAACCGUGAGGGGCAGCCGCCUAAGGUGGGAUAGAUGAUUGGGGUGAAGUCGUAACAAGGUAGCCGUAUCGGAAGGUGCGGCUGGAUCACCUCCUUUCUAAGGAUAAGGAACUGCGCAUUGGUCUUGUUUAGUCUUGAGAGGUCUUGUGGGGCCUUAGCUCAGCUGGGAGAGCGCCUGCUUUGCACGCAGGAGGUCAGCGGUUCGAUCCCGCUAGUCUCCAUUGGUGAGAGAUCACCAAGUAAUGCACAUUGAAAAUUGAAUAUCUAUAUCAAAUAGUAACAAGAAAAUAAACCGAAAACGCUGUAGUAUUAAUAAGAGUUUAUGACUGAAAGGUCAGAAAAUAAGGUUAAGUUAAUAAGGGCGCACGGUGGAUGCCUUGGCACUAGGAGCCGACGAAGGACGUGACAUACGACGAUAUGCAUUGGGUAGCUGUAAGUGAGCGAUGAUCCGGGUAUUUCCGACGGGGAAAACCCAAAGGUCCCGGGAACGUUUUCACAGGCCCGGGAACGUUUUUCACAGGCCCGGGAACGUAUUUCACAGGCCCGGGAACGUAUUCACAGGCCCGGGAACGUAUUUCACAGGCCCGGGAACGUAUUCACAGGCCCGGGAACGUAUUUCACAGGCCGGGAACGUAUUACACAGGGCCCAGGAACGUAUUCACAGUUCCGGGAACGUAUACAACAGUCCCGGGCAACGUAGUCCACAGGCCGGAAACGUAUUUACAAGGUCGGGAAACUUUAUUCGAUGUGUCAGGGAACGCAUUACAGGCGCCGAACGAGAUCCCAAGGUCUCGAACUAUGGAUAAUGAUGAAGUAUGAUGCGACAGCACUACGAGAA
rnacentral:misc_RNA from 1 species